AUUGAACGCUGGCGGUAUGCUUAACACAUGCAAGUCGAACGGUAGCAGGCCUUCGGGCGCUGACGAGUGGCGGACGGGUGAGUAACGCGUAGGAAUCUGCCUCAUAGUGGGGGGACAACGUGGGGAAACUCACGCUAAUACCGCAUACGCCCUACGGGGGAAAGCGGGGGAUCUUCGGACCUCGCGCUAUGAGAUGAGCCUGCGUUAGAUUAGCUAGUUGGUAGGGUAAAGGCCUACCAAGGCGACGAUCUAUAGCUGGUCUGAGAGGACGAUCAGCCACACUGGGACUGAGACACGGCCCAGACUCCUACGGGAGGCAGCAGUGGGGAAUAUUGGACAAUGGGCGCAAGCCUGAUCCAGCAAUACCGCGUGUGUGAAGAAGGCCUUA
rnacentral:rRNA from 1 species